UUUUUUGAAUCACUAACUCCAUAUUGUAUAAAAUAUAUAUGAUUUAUGAAUCAUUUUCUUUUAAAACCCAUUCAGCCUAGCACUGAAACGGAAGAUCCUGCUGUGAAAGGAGCAGUAUAAAGAAACAAUGUACAGACAUUGAGAGCAGAACAAGCCUUACCAGUGGCUUCAGAGGAAGAGCAAGAAAGGCUUGAAAGAAGUGAAAAGAAGCAACCACAGCUAAUUUUAAAACAUGCAAUCUGACAGAAAAGACAUCUGAGAAACAAAAUAAGCAAACUUGUUUUCCAUUUUGCACCUGCCAAAAAAAAAAAAAAAAAAGUCUCAAGAACCAGAACUGGGUAAGAAUUGUGAUAAAGGGAAUCUAUCUGUAUAUUUAUGGCUUUCUUUAAAAUUCAUUGCAAACAAGUUCAAGC
rnacentral:lncRNA from 1 species